rnacentral:ncRNA from 1 species
GAAGCGAAAAAUAGUUUACUGUGUCACUCGUACCGAUAACCGCAUCAGGUCUUCUAGGUAAGUAGCCUAUGGCCAUUGAGGCAUGAUAGUUCAGGGAAUUCGGCCAAUUAGAGCUGUAACUUCGGGAUAAAGCUUGGCUCUGAUGAAAAUCAGAACCGAUUGUUACGCGGAGAGCCCAACUGUUUAAUAAAAACGUAGUGUCGCGCUGUGGUAGUAUAGCCAGUGAACGCGACAUGAAUCCUGCUCAGUGCUGUGUCUGUUAAUAUGGUUCAAGCCAACGAAGCACCGGUAAAUAGCUGGGGUAACUAUGACUCUUAUCAAAGUAGCGAAAUACCUCGUCACUUAAUUAGUGACCUGCAUGAACGGAGCUAUGAGGUUCUCACUGUCCCAAACUGUCUCUCAGCGAACCAACUGUAGUGGGAACGGUCACUAGAUAUCCAGCGGGGAAAGAAGACCCUGUAGAGCUUCACUUUGGUCUAGUCUUGUAUAGUUCCUGCGGGGGUGUAGACUAGGUGGGAGAGCAAUCGAUUCUGAAAAACCACUACCCUGUUUGGAAUUAUGCUUACCUAUCACAAGGAAUAGGACUAGAUAGAAAGUUUGGCUGGGGCGGCACACCUUCGAAAGAGCAGCGAAGGUGUCCUAAGUUGAGCUCAGUGAGGACAGAAAUCUCACGUUGAGGAUAAGGCCAAAAGCUCAAUUUACUGUGCCUUUUUGUACUAGGAUCAGUUACGAAAGUAAGGCCUAACGAUCCCUAAAUAGCCUCAGGUGCGUGAGGAUUGGGGUGACAGACAAGUUACCUCCGGGACAACUGGCUUGUGGCUGCUAAGAGAUCAAAUCAACGCAGCUUUUUGAUUCUUCGAUGUCGGCUCUUCCUAUCCUAGUGAGUACAAGUGCUAAG